GCGUUGGCAGGUCUGCGGGGCACAGGCCCUUUGGUGUCGGUGACUCUGGAGGUGUUGGGGGAUGUCAGCAGGAAUGCGGGCCCUGCGAGCACGUCUGGUGAGGCAUGCCAGCAGUGCGGCACGCGCUGCGACGCCGGAUUGCCCCCGCGGCCGCCGACAGGUGUUUUCUCCUGCCCUCUCGUUCGCCCAUCAGCUGCUGCUUCGGUUUGCUGUCCUGACCAGUGCUGUGACUAUACCCCAGGUGCACGAUGGCAAAUGCUAUUUUUGGUCCUACUGGAUGUGGACGGCCAGCAAGAUGAUGCUUGCCUGAAUUAUUGUGUGAAAGAGGUGCUGAUGAGGUUUGGCUUGGCAGGGUCGGGUGUGAGGAGGUCAGAGAGCAAGGAGUCGGUGGCAACUGGCGCGCGGGCUCUGACAAUGCUGUGCCACUGGGGCACCUGCAAAACAAAGGAGGAUGACGCUGUGCCGGCCCCCUACGUCAGAGUGCGCCUGAAGGUGAGCCCUUGUCAUUGCAAGGGAAAUUCUGUUCUUUCGGUCUUGAAGGGAAUGCAGGAUUCCGUGGCAUCCUUGCAGGAGUCAGGUAUCCAGCCGUUCCAGUAUUGUGUCGAUUGUCUUCGUGCCUGCAAGUUGCUUGAAAAUUAUGUGCGUGGAAAUUGUGUCUACACAAGUUAUGGUGAUGACUGACAUCAUGACCAGGUGCAUGGCGGCGUGGACUUGCGACUGGCGGCUCGGCCCAGCCCGAACCACCGCCGGAUACCCUCCGACGAGGCGCUGAUGCGCAUGGCCGCAUACCACCGCGCCCCUGUCCCCGUUCUGCCCACCGUCAGCAGCCCCCCGUCCUCCCCCGCGCCCAGCCAGACGCUGCCCCAGUCCGCCGUCACUGCCGCCCUC
rnacentral:lncRNA from 1 species